ensembl:snRNA U6 U6 spliceosomal RNA
GGGAGGAUGGCUACUGUAUUAUAACAGUGGAACCAUAGAGAGAAUAGCAUGGGCCUGUGCAAGAAUGACUAGCAAAUUUAUAAAACAUUCUAUAUUUUU